CCUACGGGAGACAGCAGUGGGUAAUAUUGCACAAUGGGGGAAACCCUGAUGCAGCGACGCCGCGUGAGUGAAGAAGUAAUUCGUUAUGUAAAGCUCUAUCAUCAGGGAAGAAAAUGACGGUACCUGAGUAAUAAGCCCCGGCUAACUACGUGCCAGCAGCCGCGGUAAUACGUAGGGGGCAAGCGUUAUCCGGAUUUACUGGGUGUAAAGGGUGCGUAGACGGAAGUGCAAGUCUGGAGUGAAAGGCGGGGGCUCAACCCACGGACUGCUCUGGAAACUGUACGGCUGGAGUGCAGGAGAGGUAAGUGGAAUUCCUAGUGUAGCGGUGAAAUGCGUAGAUAUUAGGAGGAACACCAGUGGCGAAGGCGGCUUACUGGACUGUAACUGACGUUGAGGCUCGAAAGCGUGGGGAGCAAACAGGAUUAGAUACCCUAGUAGUC
rnacentral:rRNA from 1 species